rnacentral:rRNA from 1 species
UGGGGAAUAUUGCACAAUGGGCGCAAGCCUGAUGCAGCCAUGCCGCGUGUGUGAAGAAGGCCUUCGGGUUGUAAAGCACUUUCAGCGGGGAGGAAGGCGGUGAGGUUAAUAACCUCAUCGAUUGACGUUACCCGCAGAAGAAGCACCGGCUAACUCCGUGCCAGCAGCCGCGGUAAUACGGAGGGUGCAAGCGUUAAUCGGAAUUACUGGGCGUAAAGCGCACGCAGGCGGUCUGUCAAGUCGGAUGUGAAAUCCCCGGGCUCAACCUGGGAACUGCAUUCGAAACUGGCAGGCUAGAGUCUUGUAGAGGGGGGUAGAAUUCCAGGUGUAGCGGUGAAAUGCGUAGAGAUCUGGAGGAAUACCGGUGGCGAAGGCGGCCCCCUGGACAAAGACUGACGCUCAGGUGCGAAAGCGUGGGGAGCAAACAGGAUUAGAUACCUUGGUAGUCCACGCCGUACACGAUGUCGAUUUGGAGGUUGUGCCCUUGAGGCGUGGCUUCCGGAGCUAACGCGUUAAAUCGACCGCCUGGGGAGUACGGCCGCAAGGUUA